rnacentral:misc_RNA from 1 species
UUUCCGUAGGUGAACCUGCGGAAGGAUCAUUAACACGAACAAAAUGUUCCAAAACCUUUUUGGAUCAACGCCAACCUUUGAAAAGGCGAACCUAGUUGUAUUUUUCUCCUUUUUCUAUUUCGUUUUUCUCAAACGCAACUUCUCAUGGAAAUUGACUAGAAUCGUGUGAUUUGUUCCAAUCCUAUCACCUCUUUCUCCUCUCCUCUCCUCGUGAGGUGAGAUGGGAUGUAAGAUGGGAGAUGGGGGGUGGGUUUGGAACUAACCAUUCCUAACGCUAAAACAACUCUUAACAACGGAUAUCUUGGCUCUC